GCCGACCCCGGCCCCGACCCGGGCGCUUCCGGGUCGCCCCGGUGUGGGCUGCCCUACCUGUGCCCGCGCUCGUCCGGAGUCCCGCGGCGAAGAAACUUCAUGACCAGAAGAGGAUCUUGGUCCCUGGUGUAUGCGGUUGCAAAGGAUCUGUAUCAAGGGACACAUUAUGGCUGGGAUACACUGGCAGAGUUGAUACAGCUCUACCUAAAAGGGCCACACCCUAAAAAAACUAUGCAAAGAACUAAACAAAGAUGCAAGCCACCUCAGAGAAGAGGACAGUCUAGAGGAGAGCCCCUUUAAAGCUGGCAAACUGACUUCACUUAGAUGCCAAGAACAGCCAAUGGACAUUCAGCCAAUGGACUGCUCCACCCCAUACACCCUGAGGACAAGGUAUUGCUGAAACCCCAGAAAAUCCAAGGGCCCAAUGAACACCUGGUUGAAGAGUAGAAAAGCUCAUAUAAUGUACUGUUGAAAAGAUACACCUCAUUAACCCUCUCAGGAAUAAAGCCUUGGAGCCAUCAUUCAAGAAUCAAGAGAGCUGCACCAAAGGAAGAUAUCUCAGGCCACCCUUCACAUCAUGCUUCAUCUUGCACAGCAGUGGAAGAUCUUAGGCUCAAGCAUCUAGCUUCCCUUUGCUUAUGGCCAAGCUACCUUUGAGCAAGCUACCAAGCUACCUUGUGCUUGGGGUCAGACUUAUCAUUUCUCAGGUUUUUUUUUUUUUUGUAUUUUUUUUUUGAGACAGGGUCUCAGUAUGCAGUUCAGGCU